GAUGAACGCUGACAGAAUGCUUAACACAUGCAAGUCGAUGGGGAAGUGGUGCUUGCACCAUGGAAACCAUGGCGGACGGGUGAGUAACGCGUAAGGGACUUACCUGCAGGACUGGGAUAACAGGGGGAAACUCCUGACAAGACCGGAUAAUGUCAUGGAGCUGCAUGGCUUUAUGAUGAAAGGAGACGCCUGCGGAGAGCCUUGCGUCCUAUUAGCUAGUUGGUGAGGUAAUGGCUCACCAAGGCGAAGAUAGGUAGCCGGCCUGAGAGGGUGGACGGCCACAAGGGGACUGAGAUACGGCCCUUACUCCUACGGGAGGCAGCAGUGGGGAAUAUUGGACAAUGGGGGCAACCCUGAUCCAGCAAUUCUGUGUGCACGAAGAAGGUUUUCGGAUUGUAAAGUGCUUUCAGCAGGGAAGAAGUAAGUGACGGUACCUGCAGAAGAAGCGACGGCUAAAUACGUG
rnacentral:rRNA from 1 species